ncrna:unclassified sequences RT-3 RNA
AAUCGGAGACCCUAUACGCCUACGAGUUGGGCAAUUAUAUUCUCCGAGGGGUUCGCGCCUCGGCAAAAGCAUUAUAAUAUAUUAUUUAUGGAAAGCCGGAACAUAUCUUUAACCACAAGUGAGGAGGGUUUCAUAUCCUCCUCACGGGACUGGAAGGCGGU